rnacentral:rRNA from 1 species
CGGAGGAAGAGAAACCAACCGGGAUUGCCCUAGUAACGGCGAGUGAAGCGGCAACAGCUCAAAUUUGAAAUCUGGCGCCUUCGGUGCCCGAGUUGUAAUUUGUAGAGGGUAGCUCGAGCCCGCCCCCGUCUAAGUCCCCUGGAACGGGGCGUCGUAGAGGGUGAGAAUCCCGUAUGCGACGGGGUGGCGUGCUCGUGUGAGCUCCCUUCGACGAGUCGAGUUGUUUGGGAAUGCAGCUCUAAAUGGGAGGUAAAUUCCUUCUAAAGCUAAAUACCGGCCAGAGACCGAUAGCGCACAAGUAGAGUGAUCGAAAGAUGAAAAGCACUUUGGAAAGAGAGUUAAAAAGCACGUGAAAUUGUUGAAAGGGAAGCGCUCACGACCAGACUCGGGUGCGGCUGCUCAGCCGGUCUUCUGACCGGUGCAUCGGUUGUACCCGGGCCAGCAUCGGUUCGGGCGGUCGGAUAAAGGCCUCGGGAACGUAGCUCCUCUCGGGGAGUGUUAUAGCCCGGGGCGCAAUGCGGCCUGCCCGGACCGAGGAACGCGUUCGCUAGGAUGCUGGCGUAAUGGUCGUUAGCGGCCCGUCUUGAAACACGGACCAAGGAGUCUACCAUCUGUGCGAGUAUUAGGGUGUCAAACCCUUGUGCGUAAUGAAAGUGAACGGAGGUGGGAACCCUUUGGGUGCACCAUCGACCGAUCCAGAUGUCCUCGGACGGAUUUGAGUAAGAGCACCGCUGGUGGGACCCGAAAGAUGGUGAACUAUGCGCGGAUAGGGUGAAGCCAGAGGAAACUCUGGUGGAGGCUCGCAGCGGUUCUGACGUGCAAAUCGAUCGUCAAAUCUACGCAUAGGGGCGAAAGACUAAUCGAACCAU